rnacentral:rRNA from 1 species
GCAAGUCGAGCGGUAACAGGGGUAGCUUGCUACCCGCUGACGAGCGGCGGACGGGUGAGUAAUGCAUAGGAAUUUACCCGAUAGUGGGGGAUAACCUGGGGAAACCCAGGCUAAUACCGCAUACGUCCUACGGGAGAAAGGGGGCUUCGGCUCCCGCUAUCGGAUGAGCCUAUGCCGGAUUAGCUGGUUGGUGAGGUAAUGGCUCACCAAGGCGACGAUCCGUAGCUGGUCUGAGAGGAUGAUCAGCCACAUCGGGACUGAGACACGGCCCGAACUCCUACGGGAGGCAGCAGUGGGGAAUAUUGGACAAUGGGCGCAAGCCUGAUCCAGCCAUGCCGCGUGUGUGAAGAAGGCCCUCGGGUUGUAAAGCACUUUCAGCGAGGAAGAACGCCUGGCGGUUAAUACCCGCCAGGAAAGACAUCACUCGCAGAAGAAGCACCGGCUAACUCCGUGCCAGCAGCCGCGGUAAUACGGAGGGUGCAAGCGUUAAUCGGAAUUACUGGGCGUAAAGCGCGCGUAGGUGGCUUGAUAAGCCGGUUGUGAAAGCCCCGGGCUCAACCUGGGAACGGCAUCCGGAACUGUCAGGCUAGAGUGCAGGAGAGGAAGGUAGAAUUCCCGGUGUAGCGGUGAAAUGCGUAGAGAUCGGGAGGAAUACCAGUGGCGAAGGCGGCCUUCUGGACUGACACUGACACUGAGGUGCGAAAGCGUGGGUAGCAAACAGGAUUAGAUACCCUGGUAGUCCACGCCGUAA